CACACAAACCGCCCCCCUCCCGGCCCCCCUCCGGUGCAGGGAAAUGCAGGAGAACGCGAAAGCAUCGGGGCAGAGCAGCCGCUGGAGGUGCCCGAGCCGUCUCCCCCUUGCCCGCAGGGCCGGAGUUGCCCACCGCCGGCAGCUGACAGGUCCGUGCUGGAGAGUGGGAGAAGGGUCCCUGCUGGCUGCCAUGUCCUGGGUGGGCACAGAGCUCUGACCUUGGCCAGAUGGACUGGUUUCCAGGUGUUUUGAUCCUGACGUCGCCAAAGCCUCAGGCUUCUCUCCCGGGGCCCUUGCCGUUGCUGUAUCUCUUGGAUGCCGUGCAGAACGGAAUCAGGCAGCCAAGCCUCAUGUUCGCCUUCUCCCUCACCCUCUGCGCUGCUCAUGUGGCACAGCAGAUCCUGAAGCCAGAGGAGCACAUGUACAUAAAGGUAAAGAGAUUCCUUCUGUCGCACCGGUGUUUGGACCUGAGGAAGGUACCGGGUUUCCUCCAGCUUUUCUACAGUUUUGAUUCUGAGAAAACAGAGCGUGAGUGGAUCCUCAGAUUUCUUGGGGAAGGGCUGCGUGACAAACAUUGCUGUGAGCUUUAUGUCUACCAGAGGAUUUUCUGGGUCAUUCUUGCCUUUUUCAGCAGUCCUUUGUGUGACCAGGGCUCCCAGAGUCGUAUUCUGGAGAUAUGACAGAGUGCUGCCCGUGUCACCUCUAGAGCUGCCCAUGAGCUGAUAGAGGAUCACAGCCUCCUCUCGUGGGUCCUGCACGGCUUAGAGAAAAGGACCUGCUGCACAGGAAGUGGCACAGUAAUGGAUUUGAGCUGUCUAGAACGUUAUUUCUCCUCCCCUUGCCUCUCCCUGACAAAAAAAAUCUCUUCUGCAAGCACAGAGUGCCCUGACAGGUUCAGGCAAGUGCACCAAAAGUGCCCUAGAAUAUGGUCCCCCGUAGGAGAUGGACCAGCUGCUGGUGAGGAUCUGCCUUUCAAAUGUGGUUUUCUUUUUUUUCUUUUUGUUCUGUUUUAUUUUGUU